rnacentral:rRNA from 1 species
UUGCACGCUGGCGGAAUGCUUUACACCUGCAAGUCGAACGGCAGCACGGGGGCAGCCCUGGUGGCGAGUGGCGAACGGGUGAGUAAUACAUCGGAACGUGCCCGGUCGUGGGGGAUAACGUAGCGAAAGUUACGCUAAUACCGCAUACGAUCUGAGGAUGAAAGCGGGGGACCUUCGGGCCUCGCGCGAUCGGAGCGGCCGAUGUCAGAUUAGGUAGUUGGUGGGGUAAAGGCCUACCAAGCCGACGAUCUGUAGCUGGUCUGAGAGGACGACCAGCCACACUGGGACUGAGACACGGCCCAGACUCCUACGGGAGGCAGCAGUGGGGAAUUUUGGACAAUGGGCGCAAGCCUGAUCCAGCCAUUCCGCGUGCAGGACGAAGGCCUUCGGGUUGUAAACUGCUUUUGUACGGAACGAAAAGGCUCUGGCUAAUACCUGGGGCUCAUGACGGUACCGUAAGAAUAAGCACCGGCUAACUACGUG